AGAAACAAUAAAAAUUAUUCUCCUUAUUUUACUAAAUAAAUUUUUUUUUUUUACCGAAAUAUUUUACUCCAGUCGAACCUCGCUAUUCCUAGCUAUAGCUUAGGAUAAGAGUUUUGUGAACCUUCGGAUCUAGCUCAUAUUCAGUACGACCAGUCAAACCAAUCAAUUUUUUUUCUCCAAUUUAAAGUUAUUUCAUAAAGAGAGAAAUUUUUUGAUUUGUUCAUCUUAUGUUACAAUCAAUGGUCCAAUAAAGCCCCUCAUACACUCUCUUCUAUAAGGAGCUCCUUAUAGUAUAGUAUCUCUCUCUCUCUCUCUCUCUCUCUCUCUCUCUCUAAUGAUUCUGAUACUUUCUGAGGCAGUUCUCUAGAGAGGGAGAAUGCCAAUGAAGAGGCAUGCAUGCAGUGCUCACUUUCUUGCUUCUGUCAAAAUCAUUUUUUAGCUACCUGUGGGAGAAAGGUUAGCUAGCUAGCAAGAUAUAUUUUUAGUUCAUUUUUAGUGUGAUAUGAAAUUGUGGGCCUUUUUUUUUUCCUUUUCUUGUAAUUGAUGGAUUUAUGAUUAAGUGAUUUUUCAUUAGUUAGUGAUAUAUCUUCAAUUGCGCUUUUUUAACCUGCGAAAAUCGACUUAGAAAAUUUAAUUACUUGUGUUGGUUGUAAUCUUUCCAUCUUCUCUACGAAAAUAUUCG
rnacentral:lncRNA from 1 species